rnacentral:rRNA from 1 species
UCGUGGAGUGAUUUGUCUGGUUAAUUCCGAUAACGAACGAGACCUUAACCUGCUAAAUAGUUGCGCCAACCCUUGUUGGUUGGAUUCUUGCAACUUCUUAGAGGGACUAUGGACGUUUAGUUCAUGGAAGUUUGAGGCAAUAACA